AUUUCACUUAAUCCUCACUGUAUUCCUGUCGCAUUUUGCAGAAGAGAACCAGGCUGAGAGAAGUUAAGUGACGUGCCCAAGGAUACACAGCUCUCUGCAUGUGACACGCUGACUCCCCUUCUGCCAUGAUUGUAAGUUUCGUCACUAGAAGCAGAUGCCGACACUAUGCUUCAUGUACAGCCUGCAGAACUGUGAGCCAAAAUAAUAUUUAAAAAUGCGAAGAUAUUUCAAAGUACAAACAUCCAUGUACCCACCACCCAGAGUGAAUACAUAUUAACAUUAU
rnacentral:lncRNA from 1 species